rnacentral:misc_RNA from 1 species
CGCAGAAGAAAGCUCUGGCUUUCCUUGAGAGUUGGCUUGAUUUCGAAGAAGAUCCUAUCUAGAUAAGCUGCUUCCUUUCCUAGGUGAAUGGGUAGAUGGCGUGCUACUGCUUCUCUUCUCCUCAAUCACAUAGCAACCACAAAAACCAUUAAUUCCUUUUUGCCUAUGCCUAAUUUCCUUUCAUGUGUACCAAACGCUCGCCACUUCUCAUACCCUUUUAGCCGCGGG